rnacentral:rRNA from 1 species
UACGGAGGGUGCAAGCGUUGUUCGGAAUUACUGGGCGUAAAGGGCGCGUAGGCGGCAUUAUAAGUCGGAUGUGAAAUUCCGGGGCUCAACCCCGGAGCUGCAUUUGAAACUAUAAAGCUAGAGUUCAGUUAGGGUAAACGGAAUUCCACGUGUAGCGGUGAAAUGCGUAGAUAUGUGGAAGAACACCGGUGGUGAAGACGGUUUACUGGGCUGAUACUGACGCUGAGGCGCGAAAGCAUGGGGAGCAAACAGG